UCUGCCUAUUUCCGUGGUGUAAAUACUCUCCAGCACGGCCAUCUCAGGCUACCCAUGUGAUGCCACGGAACGCAGGGUUAGAAAGAGAAGCUAAAAUUCGAUCUGGUGAGCUGCUAGGAGCCUGACCCAGCUCCCCACCGUCCCUAGCCUGAAGUCAUGCCCAAGAUGGGUGGUGGGGGAGAACUAUCUAUCCAGAAUGAAGAUUGAGUUGCUGAACAAUGCCCCCCGAAGGAAGGCAGCAGCUGUCUCACUGACUGAAAAACAAACAAGUGAAACUGUUCGAGGAUGCAAAGAUCGUACAGGAAGGACCCCCCCGCCCCCAAAGACGCGCAUAAGACCUACCUCACAGGUAUACUAUUAACUGUGCAAACAUACUGGCACGUGUCUAACACACAGAGCAGGUUUUCAGUCGGUAGGUUGUGGUUUUCCUUCAGCGACUUCAUGAAGUUCCAAUGGUGCUGGAUGAUGUCGACUCCCUCUUCGGGAGCUUCAUCCGUGUUCAUAUGUAAGAACCGUUUCUGUUUCCACUCUUGCUGAUGAAUGUCACAAUGGAAGCCUUAGAGAGCCUCGGUUAGGGGAAGAGCAGGAACCUUCUAAGACCCUUUGGCCGGUGGGGAGAGAGGAGGGAGUAAACGGGAACCAGAACCAGCUUUUAAGCGGGCUCCCACGUGUUCGGCGCUCGCGAAAACAACUUCUGUGUAGUUUAAGUCGCCACGAGGCCACCGGGACCGCAGCUCUCCCACCCCGGCUGCCCGAAUAACUGGCCCUUUGUGCUUCCUCAUCCACGGGGCCGGUUGUAAGGCAGAAACUGUGCCCGGAGAGAUGCUGCUUCCAGCCGAGACCGGGCUGGGAAACCGCGGGGACCUUCCCUCAAUCACGCCUGCUGGCAAUGAGGGACUUUCUCCGGUUUUUUAAAGUACGUUCACAGACCACCACCGCCUACUUUCAGUGACACGAAUCCUGCCUUUUACCGUUCAGUCAACAGAACCUGGACUGUUCCAGGCAGCCCUGCCUCCUGUUUCUUGAGAGGAAAGGGAAAGUUUCUGGGGACUGGACGGGGCCUGCGUACGGCCCCGCACAGUGCGGAGGGGAGAGGGACACACCCCGGGCGCUGGGGACACCCGGGCUUGGCGGCCCAGGGGACGCGGCCCGUGCGUUUCCUCAGGCGUGCGGGUCUGCCCAGCUGCACCGAGGCGGGUCUGCUGCGCUGCGAGCGGCUGCCCCGCGGCUGGUCAGUGGCCGCCAGGGACCCGGCGCCCAGCCCACUCCGGCCUCUGUGGGGCCGCUUUUACGUCCUUCCAAAGGAGUGUCAGUCCUCCGGUGGUCUGCCCAUUUCUUGUGAGAAAUUAUGAAUAAUGACUCAUCAAUCUAGAAUCUACACCGGUGUAUACGUGGUGUCUAAAAAUCAGGAGACUGGAUGAGGUCAUAAAAGACGCGAACGUGGAAGAAAAAGAGAUUCGAGCGCCCUCCUCAUAGCGCGGAAGAAUAGAGGGCGGGCCGGAAGGCAUCUCCGCAUGCGCAGAAGCAAGUCUAACAAAGGUUGACGGAAGAGGCGGGGCGGGAGGACGCUGAGGCUAAAGACAUAAUUUGUCUAGAUUUGGGUUGGUUAUCGUCGUUUCCCACAUGGUCUAGCGGUUAGGAUUCCUGGUUUUCACCCAGGCGGCCCGGGUUCGACUCCCGGUGUGGGAACUUCUGACCUUUUUGGACAAAAGAAAAGCAAUUCAAACCCCCUUUAACUAGGGGGUGGGGGGACUAGAUUAGUGCUUUUAGAAAA